GUUUGCGACGAGAGCUACGGUUUAAUAAUGAGCGUGGGUCUCCGAUAUUUCGGAAGUGGCGGGCGUGUGCGUGCCGCUGUUCCGUGCCUGUCUUCGCCAUUUUUAGGUUAAGGGUCGGAAAUAUAAAUUUGAAACGGAUUCACUACUGCGUAUUGUAUGUUUCUAGGCUCUCCGAAAACCACCCUCCGAGACGUUUCUUUACUUUUUUUUCAGCUAUGGUGUCAUGUAUGG